rnacentral:rRNA from 1 species
CCGGCCUACGGGGGGCAGCAGUGAGGAAUAUUGGUCAAUGGGCGCGAGCCUGAACCAGCCAAGUCGCGUGAGGGAAGACGGUCCUAUGGAUUGUAAACCUCUUUUGUCGGGGAGCAAAAGACGCCACGCGUGGCGUUCCGAGAGUACCCGCAGAAAAAGCAUCGGCUAACUCCGUGCCAGCAGCCGCGUGAAUACGGAGGAUGCGAGCGUUAUCCGGAUUUAUUGGGUUUAAAGGGUGCGCAGGCGGAAGAUCAAGCCAGCGGGAAAAUUGAGAGGCUCAACCUCUUCGAGCCGUUGAGACUGGG